GUGUUGAAUUACAGACCUCGACAAAAACGUCUUCUCAACUUGCUUGAUGUAGUGCUGAAAUCUUCACACGAUUGGAUGAUAUUGAUGUUUCUUUAAGAUGAAAUGGACUACUAGUCCAAGAAUAUUUCGCUUUGCAAAGCUACUUUAAUAUUGUAUCAAUCACGUCUAUCUAUUUAGUCAAUAAUUUCAUUGUCUAUAAUCCUUAAUAGACUUUGAUUCAUGAUCCUCAUUAUUUCUUGUAAUAUAUAGCGCUAUAAUAUAUAAAUAAUCAUCGUCAACGUUGAUUUUC